ensembl:snRNA U6 U6 spliceosomal RNA
GUGUUCAGUUAGACAGCACAUAUACUAAAAUUGGAACAAUACAGAGAAGAUCAGCAUUUGCCCCUGAGCAAAGAUGACAGGAAAAUUCAUGAAGCAGUCCACAAAUUU